GGGGCUGGGGCUUAGUGGUAGAGCACUUGCUUGGCAUGCAUGAGGCACUGGGUUUGAUCCUCAGCACCA
rnacentral:tRNA from 1 species